CAUCAUCGUGACGAAGGCCGCCCUGGUCGGGUCUCUGCAUUUCCGGAGCCAGAUGGACUGGAACGCCCAUCAAGGCCGCGCCAUCCUCAGAGAUAUGUCGACCCUUACAGUGGCUACUACAACUCCCACAUGAAUCCUAUGUGGAACGACUACUGGUGGUAUUACCAUGGACCUCACUGGGGUCAUGUAAAGCAUCCAUCUUCUGACCCUUGGCCAAAUUUCCAUCGGUCAGCUUCAGACUGACAUGGAUGGAAGAGACGAGCCAAACUCGCAGGGCUCAGCUCUACAGUGCAACAAGGAUCUCCUGUAUUUAUCUAAAAUAAAGUGUGAAAGCUCUCCUGCA